AUGUCUAAAACUCAGGCGGACAACAUGAAAUUGAUAAUAAUAGUCUGUAUUUUUGGACUAACUAAGGCGAGGGAUAAUAUGAUUUUACAAUUAUUACAGUCAUUUGGGAGAAUGCACAAUACCAGUAGCCUUACUGCGUGCCUGCCAUUACCCCAUUCAGCAAGCCAUCCUUUAGAAUGGGGCGUAUUAACUUUUAACCUCUCUAGAAUGUGGAACAAUAUCCACAAUAUCAGUGGUAUGCAAAUUAUUAAAGUCCCGAGAGAUCAAACAGUAUACUAUAGUAACGGAACUCAAUGUUGGAGUCGGGGAUUAAGUAUUCUACCCACCGGAGAACAGAUAAUAUGGGACAUACUAGAGAAUAAGAGUAGCUCUUGCCCAGAUGGUUUUCAACGGGACGGGUUACCCAAUGGUGAGGACUUAUGUUGGAACGUAGACAAUGUGUAUAGCAGUUUAUACGGUAGAAAGAAGAGGUCAAUUAACUCAGAGUCAGGAGGCAAUUGGACCUCAUAUGAAUGUGCUCAGGUGCCAUGGGGAAUGGAUUUAACCUCUAUAUGGAAAAGUUCAGAACAAGGAGAAUGGCAUUAUAGUCAAAAGGCAGAUUGGUGUUUAGAGUGGGCUGGGGAAGUAGGUGCAAACUUAUCCUCUAUUAAGCAACCUUUGCUAGAAGAAGCCAGAAAGAAACUAGGAAACUCCAUGCUGAACUGUACUAACAUUUUUAAUUGCACCUCUAGUGAUCUUGAAAUACAACAAAUUGGACCAAUAGCGCGAACUUUAAGGUUAGGUUGCCUUUGUAGGAAUCUGACCACUUCUAUCAACCAGACAUGGAGGGGAGACAAUUCAAUUAAUUGUAAAAAGAAGGUACUCCCAGCUAUGGGUCACACAGUAUGGGUAAAAGGAGAUGGAACUUGGACAACUCAUCUACCCCUUGAUGGAAAAACUCAACCCUUCACUCUAGGAUUGUUGACCCUAUGUCCUCUGUGGAGGAAGAAUCCCAUCACUGCGGUUUCAAAUGGCUUGGUAAAACGAGACCAAACUAAGGAAGAGGACUGGAAAAAACCUAGUGCGGGAACUGUUGUUGGUUGGGUAUUGGAAUCCAUCUUCAGCCCCCAGUCUAUGAGUUUACACAAUAAGUUUGCUAUAGAUAAUCUAACAGGACAGGUGGAGGUAUUAGCAAAUGCUACCCAGAACAGUCUGUGGGAAUUAAAUCAACAAGCUCAAAGCACUUCUAAGAUGACCCUCCAAAACAGACAAGCCUUAGAUUUACUCUUGGCCCGAGACCAUGGACUAUGUGGAUAUAUACAAGAAGACCCGGAAAACUGUUGUAUCCACAUUCCGAAUGUAAUGGGACCUCUUAAAGAGCAAUUAGAAAGAAUUAAAAAGGUGCUACACUUCGACAGUUUCUGGAAGAGUGAAGAAGUUGGCCAGAGUGAAUACAGGCAUACCUCAUUUUAUUGUGCUUUGCAGAUAUUGCAUUUUUUACAAAUUGAAGGUUUGUGGCAACCCUGCAUCGAGCAAGUCUAUUGGUGCCAUUUUUCCAACAGCAUGUGCUCACUUUGUGUCUCUGUGUCACAUUUUCGUAAUUCUUGCAAUAUUUCAAGCUUUUUCAUUAUUAUUAUAUCUGUUAUGAUGAUCUGUGAUCAGUGAUCUUUGAUGUUACUAUUGUAAUUGUUUUGGGGCACACGAACUGUGCCCAUAUAAGACGGUGAACUUAAUUGAUAAAUGUUGUGUGUGUUCUGACUGCUCCACCGACUGGCUGUUCCCCCAUCUCUCUCCCUCUCCUCGGGCCUCCCUAUUCCCUGAGACACAACAAUAUGGAAAUUAGGGCAAUUAAUAACCCUACAAUGGCCUCUAAGUGUCCAAGUGAAAGGAAGAGUCGCACAUCUCUCACUUUAAAUCAAAAGCUAGAAAUGAUAAAGCUUAGUGAGGAAGGCAUGUCGAAAGCCGAGAUAGGCCGAAAGCUCGGCCUCUUGCGCCAAACAGUUAGCCAAGUUGUGAAUGCAAAGGAAAAGUUCUUGAAGGAAAUUCAAAGUGCUACUCCAGUGAACACACGAAUGAUAAGAAAGCGAAACAGCCUUAUUGCUGAUAUGGAGAAAGUUUUAGUGCUCUGGAUAGAAGAUCAAACCAGCCAUAACAUUCCUGUAAGCCAAAGCCUAAUCCAGAGCAAGGCCCUAACUCUCUUCAAUUGUAUGAAGGCUGAGAGAGGUGAGGAAGCUGCARAAGAAAAGUUUGAAGCUAGCAGAGGUUGGUUCAUGAGGUUUAAGGAAAGAAGCUGUCUCCACAACAUAAAGGCUCAAGGUGAAGCAGCAAGCGCUGAUGUAGAAGCUGCAGCAAGUUAUCCAGAAGAUCUAGCUAAGACAAUUGGCUACACUAAGCAACAGAUUUUCAAUGUAGACAAAACCGCCUUAUAUUGGAAGAAGAUGCCAUGUAGGACUUUCAUAGCUAGAGAAGAGAAGUCAGUGCCAGUCUUCAAAGCUUCAAAGGACAGACUGACAGCAAGAGAACUAGAAUUAGAAGUGGAGCCUGAAGAUGUGACUGAAUUGCUGCAAUCUCAUGAUAAAACUUUAACGGAUGAGGAGUUGCUUCUUAUGAAUGAGCAGAGAAAGUGGUUUCUUGAGAUGGAAUCUACUCCUGGUGAAGAUACUGUGAACAUUGUUGAAAUGACAACAAAGGAUUUAGAAUAUUACAUAAACUUAGUUGAUAAAGCAGCGGCAGGGUUUGAGAGGAUUGACUCCAAUUUUGAAAGAGGUUCUGUUGUGGGUAAAAUGCUAUCAAACAGCAUCGCAUGCUACAGAGAAAUCCUUCGUGAAAGGAAGAGUCAAUCGAUGCGGCAGACUUCAUUGUCUUAUUUUAAGAAAUUGCCACAGCCACCCCAGCCUUCAGCGACCACCACCCUGAUCAGUCAGCAGCCAUCAACAUCGAGGCAAGACCCUCCAUUGGCAAAAAGAUUACGACUAGCUGAAGGCUCAGAUGAUGGUUAGCAUUUUUUGAAGUAUUUUUUAAUUAAGGUAUGUACAUUGGUUUUUUAGACAUAAUACUAUUACACACUUAAUAGACUACAGUAUAGUGUAAACAUAACUUUUAUAUGCACUGGGAAACCAAAAAAUUUGUGUGAMUUGCUUUAUUGCUAUAUUCUCUUUAUUGCGGUGGUCUGGAACCAAACCUGCAAUAUCUCUGAGGUAUGCCUGUAAAAGAAAAAAGGUGGUCAGUCAAGUACAAAGUAUCCCCUUGAAAGACUUUUUAAGGGCUAAAUUGGGGCUUUCUUGCUGUUUAAUUGUCCCAAGCCUCUUUGUCAAGUCCUGUCUACACGAGUACAGAUGACUAUUUACACUUUCAACAAAAUUUAAAAGACCAGAUCAUGAAUUUCUAAAAGCCAUAUAUAAAAAUUAUUUCCAUUGCCACUGAAACACACAAAGCUAUAUUUAAAAGUAUUUCUAGAAUAGCUGUUGGUUAUUCUAGCUAGCUGUAGCUAGCUUUGUGCUCUUGAAGUGCAUGGAUUAUUGCAAAGAUAACAAUAAUUGCCAUAAGAAUUACUGUAGUUUGUGCAGAAGUUAUUUCUCAGCUGGUCAUGGUAGAUAUUUACAAAUAAAACAAUAGAGCAAAUAAAUGAAUCA
rnacentral:lncRNA from 1 species